GGGGCCCGGCACAAGCGGAGGAGCAUGUGGUUUAAUUCGAUGAUACGCGAGGAACCUUACCUGGGCUCGAACGUAAGAUGACUGUAGGUGAAAGCUUACAUCUCUUCGGAGCAUUUUACGAGGUGCUGCAUGGUUGUCGUCAGCUCGUGCCGUGAGGUGUCGGGUUAAGUCCCAUAACGAGCGCAACCCCUACCUUUAGUUGCCAUCAGGUUAAGCUGGGGACUCUAAAGGAACUGCCUACGCAAGUAGUGAGGAAGGCGGGGAUGACGUCAAAUCAGCACGGCCCUUACGUCCAGGGCUACACACGUGCUACAAUGGCCGAUACAGAGGGCAGCUACCUGGUGACAGGAUGCAAAUCUCCAAAGUCGGUCUCAGUUCGGAUCGGAGUCUGCAACCCGACUCCGUGAAGUUGGAUUCGCUAGUAAUCGCGCAUCAGCCAUGGCGCGGUGAAUACGUUCCCGGGCCUU
rnacentral:rRNA from 1 species